AGGGUUUGAUCAUGGCUCAGAACGUACGCUGGCGGCACGCCUAACACAUGCAAGUCGAACGAAGUAGCAAUACUUAGUGGCAGACGGGUGAGUAACAUGUGGGUAUCUGCCCUUUGGCCUGGAAUAACACGAGGAAACUUGUGCUAAUACCGGAUAAGUCUUUACGGAGAAAGCUUUAUGCACCAUUGGAUGAGCCUGCACUUGAUUAGUUUGUUGGUGGGGUAAUGGCCUACCAAGACUGUGAUCAAUAGCUGAUUUGAGAGGAUGAUCAGCCACAUUGGGACUGAGACACGGCCCAAACUCCUACGGGAGGCAGCAGUGGGGAAUCUUGCACAAUGGAGGAAACUCUGAUGCAGCGAUGCCGCGUGAGUGAAGAAGGCCCUUGGGUUGUAAAGCUCUUUCGUCGGGGAAGAAAAUGACUGUACCCGAAUAAGAAGGUCCGGCUAACUUCGUGCCAGCAGCCGCGGUAAUACGAAGGGACCUAGCGUAGUUCGGAAUUACUGGGCCUAAAGAGUUCGUAGGUGGUUGAAAAAGUUGGUGGUGAAAUCCCAGAGCUUAACUCUGGAACUGCCAUCAAAACUUUUCAGCUAGAGUAUGAUAGAGGAAAGCAGAAUUUCUAGUGUAGAGGUGAAAUUCGUAGAUAUUAGAAAGAAUACCAAUUGCGAAGGCAGCUUUCUGGAUCAUUACUGACACUGAGGAACGAAAGCAUGGGUAGCGAAGAGGAUUAGAUACCCUCGUAGUCCAUGCCGUAAACGAUGUGUGUUAGACGUUGGAAAUUUAUUUUCAGUGUCGCAGGGAAACCGAUAAACACACCGCCUGGGGAGUACGACCGCAAGGUUAAAACUCAAAUGAAUUGACGGGGACCCGCACAAGUAGUGGAGCAUGUGGUUUAAUUCGAAGAUACGCGCAGAACCUUACCAACACUUGACAUGUUCGUCGCGACUCUAAGAGAUUAGAGUUUUCGGUUCGGCCGGACGAAACACAGGUGCUGCAUGGCUGUCGUCAGCUCGUGUCGUGAGAUGUUGGGUUAAGUCCCGCAACGAGCGCAACCCUCACUUUUAGUUGCCAUCAUUAAGUUGGGCACUCUGAAAGAACUGCCAGUGAUAAGCUGGAGGAAGGUGGGGAUGACGUCAAGUCCUCAUGGCCCUUACGUGUUGGGCUACACACGUGCUACAAUGGUAUCUACAACAGGAAGCAAGACUGCGAAGUUAAGCAAAUCCCUAAAAGAUACCUCAGUUCGGAUUGCACUCUGCAACUCGAGUGCAUGAAGCUGGAAUUACUAGUAAUCGUGGAUCAGCGUGCCACGGUGAAUGCGUUCCCGGGUCUUGUACACACCGCCCGUCACACCAUGGGAGUUGGUUCUACCUUAAGGCAAGGUUUCAAACCCUUGACCACGGUAUAGUCAGCGACUGGGGUGAAGUCGUAACAAGGUAGCCGUA
rnacentral:rRNA from 1 species